rnacentral:rRNA from 1 species
UACGUAGGGUGCAAGCGUUGUCCGGAAUUAUUGGGCGUAAAGAGCUCGUAGGCGGUCUGUUACGUCGGCUGUGAAAACCUGGGGCUCAACCCCGGGCCUGCAUCCGAUACGGGCAGACUAGAAUUCGGUAGGGGAGACUGGAAUUCCUGAUGUAGCGGUGGAAUGCGCAGAUAUCAGGAGGAACACCGGUGGCGAAGGCGGGUCUCUGGGCCGACAUUGACGCUGAGGAGCGAAAGCGUGGGGAGCGAACAGG